AGUUCCAGGAUCGGUUAUCCGCCGCCGCUGCUGUUCUCACCCGGGGUUUGUAGUCGCAGCUCAGGCCCGAGAGUUUCGGGUUGGACCCGGGGGCCCGAGCUCGGGCCCCAUCUCCCUCUCCCUGUUUUCUCCGCGGUUCACCCCCGGGUCCGUCGCUCCCAAUGACGCCUCUUUAUUCGGACAUUUCCCCCUGUUUUAAGUUGAUGUUGGACUCAGUGGCUCUGCUGGUUCUUUGAUUCUUGCCUGGGCCGAGUAACCACAGCCGGAAUCUUCAAAUCGGGCCCAUUCCUGUGAAUGUUAGUGAAAAUGGCAAAGGCUCUCGGGAAAUGAUUACUUGUCUUGUGAGCUCUGUUGGGUGGGACUGCAAAUCGUGACUUAUUGAAAGAUAUUGAAUUGAUCGGUCGAGUAAUGAAAACCAUGAGGGUGUGCAGUUGAUCCAUUAAAGACAGCCAAAACUGGACAAUAAGCACCCUGAAGGAAAAGAACCCAUUUUAACAUUACAGCAGUGCUGAAUUGGACCUUCACAGCAAGUGGCAUGAAAUCCACAUGUUGAGGGCCAUGCAGUUGUCAUGCUGGUUUUCCAGGAAAGUGAAUUAAGGUGACCGCCCCAUUAUGAAUGAAGUUGGAACUGGGAAUGGACAACACAAAAGCUGAAUAGAAAUUUGCCUACAGCUGGGUUGAUGCACUUGUGUGAAAUGAAGAGCGGGGGAAGGUGGAUCUUCCUCCUGGUGGGCACUGACUGAUUUUGCUACGUAGUGCAGUUAUCAGUUUGAAUGAAGUCUGGGCUUUCUGCUGAUUUACAAGCCAUGCAUAAUUCCAGUUUGUGGGUUUAUUUUGAUGUCACACAUUGUACCCAGUUGUAACACACUUUGCUGUUCUUGUACCAGAAUGUGAAAUAAACACUUUUAGAAAAGC